rnacentral:rRNA from 1 species
AGUGAACGCUGGCGGCAGGCCUAACACAUGCAAGUCGAACGGCAGCACAGUAAGUGCUUGCUCUUACGGGUGGCGAGUGGCGGACGGGUGAGGAAUACAUCGGAAUUUACUUUUUCGUGGGGGAUAACGUAGGGAAACUUACGCUAAUACCGCAUACGACCUACGGGUGAAAGCAGGGGAUCUUCGGACCUUGCGCGAUUGAAUGAGCCGAUGUCGGAUUAGCUUGUUGGCGGGGUAAAGGCCCACCAAGGCGACGAUCCGUAGCUGGUCUGAGAGGGUGAUCAGGGACACUGGAACUGAGACACGGUCAAGACUCCUACGGGAGGCGGCAGUGGGGAAUAUUAGGCAAUGGGCGCAAGCGUGAUCCAGACGUAGCGAGUGGGUGAAGAAGGCCUUGGGGUUGUGGAGCCCUUUUGUUGGGAAAGAAGAGCAGCAGGUUAAUACCCCGCUGUUGUGACGGUACCCAAAGAAGAAGCACCGGCUAACUUCGUG